CUAUUCUUUCAUUUCUGUGAACUUAUCUAUUGCUUUGGGUGGGUUGUGUUUUAACACUCUCACCCAAAUUUUAAAACUCUAAACAUUUAUUGAUUGUCUGACAGAUUAAAUAAAAAAAUUAAUCAAAACUUUCAACAACGGAUCUCUUGGUUCUCGCAUCGAUGAAGAACGCAGCAAAACGCGAUAUGUAAUGUGAAUUGCAGAAUUUUGUGAAUCAUCGAAUUUUUGAACGCACAUUGCGCCCUUUGGUAUUCCAAAGGGCAUACCUGUUUGAGCGUCAUUUCUUUCUCAUUUUAAAUGGUUUUGUGUAUUUCCUUUUCGAAGGAUUAUACUAAAUGUAAUGGCAUGAUUGUUUCUUGUGAAAGCGUUUUAGGUUUACCAACUACGUGAAGUAACAGGCAAACAGUGGUCAGGCCCGUACAACUACUUUUAAAAAUUUGACCUCAAAUCAGGCAGGAAUACCCGC
rnacentral:rRNA from 1 species